GACGAACGCUGGCGGCGUGCCUAAUACAUGCAAGUCGAACGCUUCUUUCCUCCCGAGUGCUUGCACUCAAUUGGAAAGAGGAGUGGCGGACGGGUGAGUAACACGUGGGUAACCUACCCAUCAGAGGGGGAUAACACUUGGAAACAGGUGCUAAUACCGCAUAACAGUUUAUGCCGCAUGGCAUAAGAGUGAAAGGCGCUUUCGGGUGUCGCUGAUGGAUGGGCCCGCGGUGCAUUAGCUAGUUGGUGAGGUAACGGCUCACCAAGGCCACGAUGCAUAGCCGACCUGAGAGGGUGAUCGGACACACUGGGACUGAGACACGGCCCAGACUCCUACGGGAGGCAGCAGUAGGGAAUCUUCGGCAAUGGACGAAAGUCUGACCGAGCAACGCCGCGUGAGUGAAGAAGGUUUUCGGAUCGUAAAACUCUGUUGUUAGAGAAGAACAAGGACGUUAGUAACUGAACGUCCCCUGACGGUAUCUAACCAGAAAGCCACGGCUAACUACGUG
rnacentral:rRNA from 1 species